ensembl:lncRNA
GUGGGUUCUUUCUGAUUAGCUCUUAAUUGAGAUCACCUGUCACGCACCCCUUUAUUAAAGGUGAACACAAUGGGUUUGGUUUACUUUUUGCAUCGGCCUGUGUCAAUCGAGGUUGAGUUUAGUGAGGGUUGAAAGUUUUCGAUCUAGAUUGCAGAUCACUAUUGUCACUUUAUACAAACUGAAAGUAUGCGUUGUUGCGUGUUUGUUUUUGUGGGCAUUUGACUGAACAGCCCAGACAAAUAUUGCUACCAACAUGGCACUUCGAAACAGACCACCGCACAUGGCUCCGUGUGCAUAAUGGAAGGCGGAACGCUGGAUUCCAGGAGAGAUUACUGCACUGCGUCUCACCGGCCUGCUGGCUGGAGCUCUCUCUGUAAGAUUGUUUGGCGUCACACGCUCCCGCUGACGAGGAGACGCCGAUCAACCCCUACGAACAACAACAUCACCGAUUUAUUCUGGGCGACGUGCAGGACUCUCCACGCCGGUCCCCUGAUUAGCCCUGUAAUCAGCAAAAGAACAAAGUGAUUAUUAGCUCGCACACUCGACUGUCUUCAGGGGAAUCUUGUUUUCUCUUCCUCCUCGCCCUCCUCUUCUUUUCUCUGCCUGAUUACAUUAAGGGAGAGCCCUCUUCCCGUCUCCCCAUGCCACGCCGACUGGAAAUCGUUUGCUUUAUUUUUGUGUUCUUCUGUAGCCGCCAUCCUCCCUGCUCCAGAGUUCCUUCGCUGUCGCCCUUCCUCUCGUCUCCUUUCACCUCCUCUUAAUCAUUGGCGCCAAGUGAUUACAUCACCUGAUUGCAGCCCUAUUCUUGAUUACGACGUGACAGCUGGCUUGACACAAACACAUGUCGGGAAGUGUUAGCGGAAAGAAACUUGUCUUGUCUUUUGUUGGUUUCACCUGCUUUGCCUCCCCGGAAAGUAAUCCCUUUGAGUAACUUGAACAGUGUUGACAUCAUGAUGGCUAUGUCAGUAUUGAAUUAAUUAAUUUCCCUUAGAUCCGUCAUGAUUUUCAAACAUGGAAGAAUAUUUUAUUUUGUGCAAAAAACAUUCCAUUCAACAGCCAACCAACUUGCUUUGUGAUUUGUGAUUGUUUUGUUGUGUCAUUCUACAUCAUAACGUGGGAGAGGUGGGAUAAAUGGAAUGUGAAUACUUAAAUGCUCUUCAAAGCUAAGUGACAUCUUGACAACUCUGUAGAUGAAUGUUUGCUGUAGGAUAACCUUUUAACUCUAUCACAUUAUUGAAAAACGGUUGUUCAUGUCCUAAGUUAACCAUAAAAAUCAGCUCUCUGAGGUUAAGAGACAUAAGGGGUCUCUGAGGUUAAGGGACAUAAGGGUCUCAGA